rnacentral:misc_RNA from 1 species
CACGUAUAACCAAUAGAUCUGGAACCGCAAGGGAUGCGCGUUUCGCACGGGUGAGUCCCCCGAUACGUCAAUAAAUUUAACUAGAGGCGCGCGAGACGAGCCGAAAUGACAAUGCACGAGCCACACCAAGCCGAUCCCCUAGAGGCGGUGCGGAGCCUAUCGAUCGAGUGAAAAGGUGAUCAAUGAUUGACGAGACCAGCUGGGUGCUUUAGUUAGGACCGAUAACAGCACUGCGGUCUCUCGGGCUUGUCUUCCUCAGAUUGAAAGUCGGAAGUUAGCCGGCGGAUAAGUUCGGGGUUUGAGCCGCAGUGAAACGUCACGGACUGACCAACACCGAAUAGACCAUCCUAACUGCGAGCAAAAGCCGAUCACCACAGGCUGUUGAUAGACAGGGGGCAGUUCUGCGCCGGCGGCUCCUCAGGCUUCGUCGGGCAACCGGCCGCGGGCAAGCUUACCAACACACGUGCCACAUAAUCGCUGAUACAAGCUGACUAGAAAUCUGACUGGCCUCAUUGCCCGUUACGCGGAACAAGUGGAGCCGCCUAAUUUGGGCACCACUCACUCUUUCGAUCAACUCCCUCUGCUCGGGUGUGAGCUCGACUGCAGCCAAAUGUUGCCGGGUUUCCGAUGGAGCCAAAUGUUGCAGGGUUUCCGACGAUUCCCCCUUACUCGAUUUGGGAUGCGUCAUUUCACUUCCCUCUGCAAGCUGCAAUUGCUCUUGCUAGUUAUCUUCAUUCCUGUGAAUGAUACAGUGGUCGAAUCCAUUGUCAAGCGUAGAAUUU